GGGGCUGUAGCUCAGGCUGGUUAGAGCACCUGCUUUGCAAGCAGGGGGUCGUCGGUUCGAAUCCGAUCAGCUCCA
rnacentral:tRNA from 1 species